AGUGAACGCUGGCGGCAGGCCUAACACAUGCAAGUCGAGCGGAUGAAGGGAGCUUGCUCCUGGAUUCAGCGGCGGACGGGUGAGUAAUGCCUAGGAAUCUGCGUGGUAGUGGGGGAUAACGUCCGGAAACGGGCGCUAAUACCCCAUACGUCCUGAGGGAGAAAGUGGGGAAUCUUCGGACCUUACGCUAUCAGAUGAUCCUAUGUCGGAUUAGCUGGUUGGUGGGGUAAAGGCCUACCAAGGCGACGAUCCGUAACUGGUCUGAGAGGAUGAUCAGUCACACUGGAACUGAGACACGGUCCAGACUCCUACGGGAGGCAGCAGUGGGGAAUAUUGGACAAUGGGCGAAAGCCUGAUCCAGCCAUGCCGCGUGUGUGAAGAAGGUCUUCGGAUUGUAAAGCACUUUAAGUUGGGAAGAAGGGCAGUAAGUUAAUACCUUGCUGUUUUGACGUUACCAACAGAAUAAGCACCGGCUAACUUCGUG
rnacentral:rRNA from 1 species